ensembl:misc_RNA Metazoa_SRP Metazoan signal recognition particle RNA
GCUGGCUGUGGUGGUGCAUGCCUGUGGUCCCAGCUACUUGGGAGGCAGAGGCGGGAGGAUCACUCGAGCCCAGGAGGUUGAGGGUGCAGUGAGCCAUGAUCUGGCCACUGCACUCCAGCCUGGGUGACAGAGUGAGACCCUGUAUCAA